rnacentral:rRNA from 1 species
UACGUAGGGUGCAAGCGUUAAUCGGAAUUACUGGGCGUAAAGCGUGCGCAGGCGGCUUUGCAAGACAGAUGUGAAGUCCCCGGGCUCAACCUGGGAACUGCAUUUGUGACUGCAUGGCUAGAGUACGGUAGAGGGGGAUGGAAUUCCGCGUGUAGCAGUGAAAUGCGUAGAUAUGCGGAGGAACACCGAUGGCGAAGGCAAUCCCCUGGACCUGUACUGACGCUCAUGCACGAAAGCGUGGGGGGCAAACAGG